AUAACAAUUAGGUUAGUUUGGUUAGAAUAAUAAAUAAACAGUGAAUUCACACUUUUCAUUCUCUUAUAUUGUAUUCAUGUUCUUCUUUAAUGGUAACAUGCUUGUUGCAGUAAUUCGUGAUGCAAUCUGUUUUCACGCGUAGAAAGAAAGAGCUUCGAUGCUCACUCGUCGGAAUGUGAAAGAAAACUAAUCCGUCGAUCGUCAAAGUCAGUCACAAGUCUGUUUUUGUUGACGUUAUACAUAAUCAACGAUGGGGAUAUUAAAAUUUAUUGUUUAAAUAAUUUUUAAAUAAUCAAAAAUAUUAAUUUAUAAGUUUUCUCGCGUAGAAAGAAAGAGCUUCGAUGCUCACUCGUCGGAAUGUGAAAGAAAACUAAUCCGUCGAUCGUCAAAGUCAGUCACAAGUCUGUUUUUGUUGACGUUAUACAUAGUCAACGAUGGGGAUAUUAAAAUUUUUUUCACGCGUAGAAAGAAAGAGCUGCGAUGCUCACUCGUCGGAAUGUGAAAGAGAACUAAUCCGUCGAUCGUCAAAGUCAGUCACAAGUCUGUUUUUGUUGACGUUAUACAUAGUCAACGAUGGGGAUAUUAAAAUUUAUUGUUUAAAUAAUUUUUAAAUAAUCAAAAAUAUUAAUUUAUAAGUUUUCUCGCGUAGAAAGAAAGAGCUUCGAUGCUCACUUGUCGGAAUGUGAAAGAAAACUAAUCCGUCGAUCGUCAAAGUCAGUCACAAGUCUGUUUUUGUUGACGUUAUACAUAGUCAACGAUGGGGAUAUUAAAAUUUAUUGUUUAAAUAAUUUUUAAAUAAUCAAAAAUAUUAAUUUAUAAGUUUUCUCGCGUAGAAAGAAAGAGCUUCGAUGCUCACUCGUCGGAAUGUGAAAGAAAACUAAUCCGUCGAUCGUCAAAGUCAGUCACAAGUCUGUUUUUGUUGACGUUAUACAUAGUCAACGAUGGGGAUAUUAAAAUUUUUUUCUCGCGUAGAAAGAAAGAGCUUCAUUGUUUACUCGUUGGAAUAUAAAAGGAAACUAAUUCGUCGAUCGUCAGUCAGUCAUAAAUCUGUCUUUGUUGAUGUCACACAUAGUCAACGAUGGGGAUAUUAAAAUUUAUUGUUUAAAUAAUUUUUAAAUAAUCGAAAAUAUUAAUUUUUAAGUUUUCACGCGUAGAAAGAAAGAGCUUCGAUGCUCACUCGUCGGAAUGUGAAAGAAAACUAAUCCGUCGAUCGUCAAAGUCAGUCACAAGUCUGUUUUUGUUGACGUUAUACAUAGUCAACGAUGGGGAUAUUAAAAUUUUUUUCUCGCGUAGAAAGAAAGAGCUUCAUUGUUUACUCGUUGGAAUAUAAAAGGAAACUAAUUCGUCGAUCGUCAGUCAGUCAUAAAUCUGUCUUUGUUGAUGUCACACAUAGUCAACGAUAGGGAUAUUAAAAUUUAUUGUUUAAAUAAUUUUUAAAUAAUCAAAAAUAUUAAUUUAUAAGUUUUCUCGCGUAGAAAGAAAGAGCUUCGAUGCUCACUCGUCGGAAUGUGAAAGAAAACUAAUCCGUCGAUCGUCAAAGUCAGUCACAAGUCUGUUUUUGUUGACGUUAUACAUAGUCAACGAUGGGGAUAUUAAAAUUUUUUUCUCGCGUAGAAAGAAAGAGCUUCAUUGUUUACUCGUUGGAAUAUAAAAGGAAACUAAUUCGUCGAUCGUCAGUCAGUCAUAAAUCUGUCUUUGUUGAUGUCACACAUAGUCAACGAUGGGGAUAUUAAAAUUUAUUGUUUAAAUAAUUUUUAAAUAAUCAAAAAUAUUAAUUUAUAAGUUUUCUCGCGUAGAAAGAAAGAGCUUCGAUGCUCACUCGUCGGAAUAUAAAAGGAAACUAAUUCGUCGAUCGUCAGUCAGUCACAAGUCUGUUUUUGUUGACGUUAUACAUAGUCAACGAUGGGGAUAUUAAAAUUUUUUUCUCGCGUAGAAAGAAAGAGCUUCAUUGUUUACUCGUUGGAAUAUAAAAGGAAACUAAUUCGUCGAUCGUCAGUCAGUCAUAAAUCUGUCUUUGUUGAUGUCACACAUAGUCAACGAUGGCGAUAUUAAUAUUUAUUGUUUAAAUAAUUUUUAAAUAAAGGUGAGUAUUUAUUUUGACGUUUUCAGGCGGAGAAAGAGAGAGCUUCAUUGUUUACUCUUUGGAAUAUAAAGGAAAACUAAUUCGAUAGUUGUCAAAGUCAUUUAAAAGACGACAGCAUACGAAACUAUCAUUCACAAAGAAAGGACGAAAAUAGUAUUUACGCAAGUAGCAAGUCGAGAGCAACUCUUGAAAAAUAUGAUUCUUUCAAAUAUUUUAAUAAGUUUUAUUUUUAUACAUAAACUGUUUGUUCAUUAAUAUUGUUUAAGAAUUACGUUUUUAUUUAUUGUUGGCGUAAAUAUGAGAUUAGAGACGUGAUAAACCAGCCUGAAGUGAUGGAAAAUCAGAAUUGCCUAUUUUUUAAGUGUUUGAAAAAUAAUUAUUUGUUUAAAAAUUAUUAUUGCAAGAUAUAGAUAUCACAUAAAAAUGCUUUUUAAGAAAUUAUCUAUGCCUCUAUAAUUUUUACUAUUUGUGAUUAGAAAGUAAGUUAGUUUAU